GCACGUGUGUCGUGCGCUCCUGUGCACUUCACCGCGGACACGCGUGCACGCCUUUGCAGGAAACGAGCAGCUCCAUCACCGCCUUACAGGAGGGGCGCCACCUCAGCUCAACAGAAGGUGCAGCACGACCGCCGAGAGUGUUCGGCGCAUCACCACCGUUCCUCCCAUUGUACCUUCCCUCCUCCACCACCCACCCACCCCACCCCGUAGUUCCUUGCCUCGUCAACCCAACCGCCUUGCGUAGCCGGAUCGGCGACACAGGAGCACGAUGGAGCCGGAGAGUGGUGCGCGCGCGGUCGAGUUGGCGGCCGCCGGCAAUGUGGACGACGUUCACGUGCUGCCAGACGCGAGCAAGACAGGUUCCAACGUACGCGCGUACUACUACGCGUGCCGGCACUGUCGCGUGCGCCUCUUCGACGCCGCGGAGGUGCUCCCGCACGACCCGCAGGAGGGGGCGAAUAAGACCUUCAAGUUCCGACGUGGCGGUCCGCUGCAGAGCGACGGCGCACUCGGCGAUGUGUCAUCAGGACCGUUAUCUGCCGCGGAACUCUGCACCAGCCUCUUCCUGGACCCUGACCAGACGCCGUGGGUGGCCGAAGACAUGCGCGAGGCGAACUCGAGCGGAGCCGUGGUGCAGCCGGACACAAUCUACUGCCGCAACCCCCGCUGCCGUGCGAAGCUCGGGAUGCAGUCGUGGGCAGGGUCGCAGUGCUCCUGCGGCGCAUGGAUCACCCCGGCCUUCCGCAUCCACGCUAGCGCUGUAGACAAGAUGCUGGACGUCACACCAACUUCAGCGGCACAUGCCACCUUCUCACCUCAUUGAAGCGUCGGCUAGGGGCCAGCUUUCAUGGCGGCGCAGUUGUGGCGUCUUCUGUGCCCGUGCGUGUGUACGUGCCGAGUCGGGUUUAACAUAAUAACUGCCUUUCUCUCGAGUGCAAGAGGCCACAAAUGUGUCCAACCGGUCCUCAGCUCUUUUGCCGCCGACGCUGCACACCGCAACGCGCCCUCCCUCCGUCCACCACGUUG
rnacentral:misc_RNA from 1 species